UACGAGGGGAGCAAGCGUUGUUCGGAAUCACUGGGCGUAAAGGGAGCGUAGGCGGGUUUCUAAGUCAGGUGUUUAAUCCCGGGGCCCAACCCCGGACAGGCACUUGAAACUGGGAAUCUUGAAUAGUGGAGAGGUCAGUGGAAUUGGGGGUGUAGCGGUGGAAUGCGUAGAGAUCCCCAAGAACACCAGUUGCGAAGGCGGCUGACUGGACACAUAUUGACGCUGAGGCUCGAAAGCAUGGGGAGCAAACAGG
rnacentral:rRNA from 1 species